UUACGGGCAUAUCAAGCUGAAACACUGGUUCCAUAUGAUCACCGAAGUUAAGCAUGGUCGAGCCUGGUCAGUACCUAAAUGGGUGACGAAUUGGGAAAAGAAGGU